rnacentral:rRNA from 1 species
GCAAGUCGAACGAUGAAGCUCCAGCUUGCUGGAGUGGAUUAGUGGCGAACGGGUGAGUAACACGUGAGUAACCUGCCCUUGACUCUGGGAUAAGCCUUGGAAACGAGGUCUAAUACCGGAUAGGAGCACUCAUCGCAUGGUGGGUGUUGGAAAGAAUUUCGGUCAUGGAUGGACUCGCGGCCUAUCAGCUUGUUGGUGAGGUAAUGGCUCACCAAGGCGACGACGGGUAGCCGGCCUGAGAGGGUGACC